rnacentral:rRNA from 1 species
UACGUAGGGGGCUAGCGUUGUCCGGAAUCAUUGGGCGUAAAGAGCGUGUAGGCGGUCCGGUAAGUCCGCUGUGAAAGUCGGGGGCUCAACCCUCGAAUGCCGGUAGAUACUGUCGGGCUAGAGUGCGGAAGAGGCGAGUGGAAUUCCUGGUGUAGCGGUGAAAUGCGCAGAUAUCAGGAGGAACACCUAUUGCGAAGGCAGCUCGCUGGGACGUAACUGACGCUGAGACGCGAAAGCGUGGGGAGCAAACAGG